UACGUAGGGACCGAGCGUUGUCCGGAAUCAUUGGGCGUAAAGAGCUCGUAGGCGGUUUGUCGCGUCUGCUGUGAAAACUGGAGGCUCAACCUCCAGCCUGCAGUGGGUACGGGCAAACUAGAGUGCGGUAGGGGAGAUUGGAAUUCCUGGUGUAGCGGUGGAAUGCGCAGAUAUCAGGAGGAACACCGAUGGCGAAGGCAGAUCUCUGGGCCGUAACUGACGCUGAGGAGCGAAAGCAUGGGGAGCGAACAGG
rnacentral:rRNA from 1 species